ACCUCCACAUGACCAUCUUUGAAACCAGUAACAUUGCCAAUGCAGGACAGGUGACAGUUACCUACAGAGCUAUUCGGAUAACUGAUUUGGUACAGGUUUUUCAGAGGAGCUUCCACAUUCAAGUCACUCAUUGAAUUUGCAUUAUAUUUUUCAGCUAGGUAACCGGGCUGUUUUUGAGCCGCCUUGAACACAAUAUCGCCAAAACAACAGGAAAAAUCUGGGUGCUCAACAAGUUCAUAGGCAC
rnacentral:lncRNA from 1 species